rnacentral:lncRNA from 1 species
AUCAGACUGAUUACAAUCAUUAAAGAUAAAACAUCGAGGACCUGGAAUUCUGCAGGCACACUGAAAAAGCUCAGUUAGUUGAAAAGGUCAUAGGACAUUUGCAAACCAAAGAAUAGUAUGAGGACACAAAAAAAAAAUUUGCAAUACAUUGAUUUGGUAAAUAAUAAUUAAAACAGAACAGUAUGUUACAAAAUUAGAUUAGUGUAUUACGAUUUAUGUCCCCAUUAUUGGGAUUUGGGAGCAAGGAUCAUCAAAUACAGAGAAAUCCGAUCGAUAUGCAGAUACACAACACUUUUUCCUUCAGUUUUUCAGCCAUUUAAAUUGUCAAACUCAGAAGCUUUUGUUUCUGCAAAUCUGAAACCUCCUCCUGGGUUAUCCCAUGAAGAACUUGCACAUAAAGGACUUUUAUCACCUUCGUUUGCUGCCUAUGUUGAGAACAAAUUUGAUUCAGAUAACUGUUAUGAGCAAUACAAAAUACUGAAGGAAGUAAACGUGGCAUCCUAAUUUGCCAUAAUGUUGCAUGCCCUGAAAUCAAUACCCAGAUGAAAAAGGCAACAGUAAUAAGGCUUACAUCAUCGUACAAGCUUCCCAAUGGCUAGGAGACAUCAGCUUGCGAACUGGUAAGAUAUCCGGAAGUGAGGCGACCUGCUUUCGUGCUGCUAUCGCUCCCUACCGCAGGGGCGUGCGAGUGCGAGGUGCUGGGGAGGGAGGAGUUAGAUUCCGCCGGGCAACUGGAUCGGUGCUACCGUAGUCCCCUGCUAUGGAAGUGCGCAAGGGCAAGGUGGCAGGGAUGGAGGAAGUGGCCGCAGCUGGGGCAGCACGCCGCCGGUGGAGGCCGCAUCCGCACGGACGCGAGGCGGAGCCGGAGCCGGAGCCGGAGCCGGAGGGGCUAUGGAGUUUGGGCGUGGAUAGGAGCCAUCGGUCGGCAUCCGC